rnacentral:misc_RNA from 1 species
AACGCACAUUGCGCCUGCCAGUAUUCUGGCAGGCAUGCCUGUCCGAGCGUCAUUUCAACCCUCAGGUCCCCUUCGGGGGACCUGGUGCUGGGGAUCAGCCUGAAGCCGCCCUCGCGCGGCCGGCUGGCCCUUAAAUACAGUGGCGGUCUCGCUGCAGCCCCCUUGCGUAGUAACAAACACCUCGCACUGGAGCUCAACGUGGCCACGCCGUAAACCUCCCAUAUUUUACCAAUGGUUGACCUCGGAUCAGGUAGGAAUACCCGCUGAACUUAA